rnacentral:tRNA from 1 species
GGGAAUGUGGCUUAGUGGUAGAGUGCUUGCCUAGCAUGCAAUGCAUGAAGCCCUGGGUUCGAUUCCUCAGUACCA